rnacentral:rRNA from 1 species
ACAACUUUCAGCAACGGAUUUCUUGGCUCUCGCAUCGAUGAAGAACGCAGCGAAAUGCGAUACGUAAUGUGAAUUGCAGAACUCAGUGAAUCAUCGAAUUUUUGAACGCACCUUGCGCUCUUUAGUUAUUCUGAAGAGCAUGCUUGUUUGAGUGUCGCGA